UACGGGGGGGGCAAGCGUUGUUCGGAAUUACUGGGCGUAAAGGGCUCGUAGGCGGCUAACUAAGUCGGACGUGAAAUCCCCAGGCUCAACCUGGGAACUGCGUCCGAUACUGGAUGGCUUGAAUCCGGGAGAGGGAUGCAGAAUUCCAGGUGUAGCGGUGAAAUGCGUAGAUAUCUGGAGGAACACCGGUGGCGAAGGCGGCAUCCUGGACCAAUAUUGACGCUGAGGAGCGAAAGCCAGGGGAGCAAACGGG
rnacentral:rRNA from 1 species